UGUAGGUUGUCCUGGUGCCUAUGGUGAGGAGGAGUGUAUCACCCAUUCACCUGCAGCCAUCAUUUGAAGAUGUGAGCGAGCUUAGACUGGCUUUGAUCCCAAGGUGAAGAGAAGACCAUCAAAUGCCACUAAAAGUGAGGAGAGUUCAAAGACAGACUAACUAAGCCAAGAAAUGAUGAACACACCCAACUUAAUCAUCUGAGCAGCUGUGUCCUUUAUUUGUGGAACCAAAAAAGUUGAGUGGUGCAUUAGAAUAAAUUCAUGUUAAAGAUCAAUAGAAAUAGAGAGAAAGACAUAUUUUUGAAGGAGAAAAACUCUGUUUUGAUCUUGUGUUAUGGAUUUGUGACCUUUUGUGAAGGAUCUGUGACCUUGUGUGAGGAACUUGUGGCCUUGUGUGAAGGAUCUGUGAACUAGUGUUGAGGAUCUGUGACCUUGUGUAAGGAAUCUGUGACCUUGUGUUAAGGAUCUGUGACCUUGUGUUAAGGAUCUGUGACCUUGUAUGAAGGGUAUGUGACCUUGUUUUAAGGAACUGUUACCUUGAGUGAAGGAUAUGUUACCUCGUGUGAAGGAUCUGUGACCUUAUGUUAUAAUAAAUUACAAUUUGUAAAAUGUUUUAUUAUUUGUAAUAAAUUGCAAUUUUU